AUGGACCAACGGAUCGGGUCCGCCCGUUCUCCGGCGACGAGGCGGCCACGCAGCUUCGAUCUCGAUGCUCCUCCUCCGCCGGCUAUAGCCAAACAACUACGUUCUUCCUUCAUGAUGGGUGAGCCACUCUGGGUCUGGGUGAGAUUUGGGGGCGCAUUUUCCGCCUUCACCCAAUUUGGGUCCGAGUCCACAGAUUCGUGCUCGUCAAAUGAUCGUCUGAUGCUGCUGCUGUUUGAGACGCCCUCUGGCUUCGCAAUUUUCAAUUUUGUUGCGGAGGUCAUUGAAAAACCAAAUGCCCUGGAGAAUACACCUGAACUACAGGAGCAUUUGAUGAAGAAGAAGAAGGGACUUGAAGUUGUUUGGCUGCGAAACUUUCGAACUUUUGAAGACAAGUCAAGCGCCAUUAAUCAAAACACCGGUGUUAAUGAAAGUCUUACUGAGAUGAUCAUGAAGUGCCACUUCCCCGGGCAGAGAAUUGCUGUUGGAAAGCCGGAAUAUAAAAAAAUCAUUGAAGAAAGCCUGAAAAUAACCUGCGUAUAUAGUCCAGCUGUGAUGGAGUUAAUGUGGGGCGUACAUAUUUGGAUGCCAAGUUUGGUGCCUAGAGAAAAAUUUGAUCUGACUGAAGAUGAACGCCUCCCGAUGAGUUAUGGACUGAAACAAGUGUUGAGUCGUUAUGACUGUGAUUAUGUAAACCCUGAGAUGCUCGAUCAGCCAAUUAUUAUAACGUCUUACGCCUUGUUUGAGUGUGAUUCUCUUGAGGAAGAGAAGUCUGAUGAAUUGGACUUUUUAGCUGCUGUAAUUAAGGUGGUGUCUGGCAUCGACACUGAGGGUUGGGGCUCACUGAAAAUUGCAACAGCUCUGAAGAAGAUAUGGUGUCCUGAAGAAGCUGACAAUUCUUGCGAGAUCAUUUCAGAAGACGAGGUAUCAAGGUUGGUGAAUGAUGCAGAUAAAUAUGAACCAUGA
rnacentral:rRNA from 1 species